UCCAGACUUCAUGGGACCAGUUGCUGUAGUUUUGGUUGGUUUUGCAGUCUUUUUCGCCUUUAUGUACUCUUACGCUAUUAAGACAUUGAACUUCCAAACAAGAUAGGUAGAUAUGGAUAGUUACAAAAGCUUGUACAUAUUGCCUGAAGCUUCCUCUUUUCUUCACAAAAGAAUGUGGCAAUUGUUUAUAUAGUAUUAUCUUUAAGAGACAUAAAAAGGGUCACACACCUCUAGGUCUAGGAUCUUUAGUAUGUGUUUGUAUUUAGGAGUUUUGCAGAUAACUAUUUCUAUAGCACUGAGGAAUAUUCAUUCUUGUAAAAGUCAUAUGUAGUCUCCUCAGAAUAGCACAAAAAUGUUAGCAAUAACUCUG
rnacentral:misc_RNA from 1 species